UACGUAGGGUGCAAGCGUUAAUCGGAAUUACUGGGCGUAAAGCGUGCGCAGGCGGUUUUGUAAGUCUGACGUGAAAUCCCCGGGCUUAACCUGGGAAUUGCGUUGGAGACUGCAAGGCUGGAAUCUGGCAGAGGGGGGGUAGAAUUCCACGUGUAGCAGUGAAAUGCGUAGAGAUGUGGAGGAACACCGAUGGCGAAGGCAAUCCCCUGGGCCUGCACUGACGCUCAUGCACGAAAGCGUGGGGAGCAAACAGG
rnacentral:rRNA from 1 species